rnacentral:rRNA from 1 species
GACGAACGCUGGCGGCGUGCUUAACACAUGCAAGUCGAACGGAAAGGCCCUGCUUUUGUGGGGUGCUCGAGUGGCGAACGGGUGAGUAACACGUGAGUAACCUGCCCUUGACUUUGGGAUAACUUCAGGAAACUGGGGCUAAUACCGGAUAGGAGCUCCUGCUGCAUGGUGGGGGUUGGAAAGUUUCGGCGGUUGGGGAUGGACUCGCGGCUUAUCAGCUUGUUGGUGGGGUAGUGGCUUACCAAGGCUUUGACGGGUAGCCGGCCUGAGAGGGUGACCGGCAAAUUGGGGCUUGGGUGCAGGCCCGGGCUCCACAGGGGGGAGCGGAGGGGGAUUGUUGCCAAAGGGGAGGAAACCUGAUGAAUCAACCCCUGGGGGGGGAGGAGGGCCUUCGGGUUGAAACCCCCUUUCGCCGGUGCCGAGGCGGGAGGGGCGGUAAUUGGAAAAGAAGCCCCGGCAAACUGGGU